rnacentral:lncRNA from 1 species
UUUCUGUCAAAUUCUUAAUUGAUGGCUGAUUUGGGAUUUUGAAGCAUGAUGUUAAAUUUCUUUAUAUUCUAACCGGUAUGUUUUUUUAUUAUUUUACUAUGAUACAUGGUCCAGUUUAAAAUAAAAUAAACAAUACAAUCAUUUUUAAAGCUUUUUAUGGGCCCCACCAAUUAAAAAUAAAUAAAAUAGAAGUGAAGGCAGCGUCAAAAUUGUCGCUAGAGGCCUUGCUGCCAUUCCAAGUCAGCCAAAAGAUUAUUCGGUUGGAGCAAUAUUUACUGUCAAAAGUGAUUAGUUGAUAUUACAUCUAAGAUUUGGCAUAUCAUUUGGAGACGGUUUAAGGAACUUCACUAACUAAAGACUAAGGGAUGUGGCCACUUAAUACUAUAGUUUAGUGGUAUUUCUCUUUAUUUAUAAGUAAGAAGUCUUAAUUUCGAUUCUCGUCAAAGACGAGUUUAAACCAUAUUAUAGUUAGCCCAUUGUAAGGCUAAAUUCACUCCCUCCCCUUUAGUGUAGAUACUAUUGUCUAUUCAAAAUAAUAAAAAAAAAAGACUAAGGAGUGAAGUUAAUUAAUCUUUCAAAAAAAUUUAAUAGAUAUUUUUAGGGAAAUAGACAGAAAUGACCCAUUUCUUAAUCUUUGGACCAAAAUAGGACAAAUCUGCUAUGCACAAGCCAUGCACACCAUGUACAAAAGUGAAAUGACGAAAGUAACCACAUAUAAAUUGUAAAAACUCACAUGUGAUGAUGUCAUUUUUCUUAUUUCGAAUAGAGAGCUGUGAGCUCUGGGUUUUUUGGUUGAGCUUAGAUCUAUGAGCAUACCAUGUGUAUAUCGUGUGCAUACAAUGAGUAUAUCUUAAAAAUUCAUCAAACAAAACACCAAAUUUUGCUAACUUUUAAUAAACAUUAUCACGACAUUCAGACAAGGUAGGGAAUCCCAAUAUAGAAGAGGAAGAAAUUGACUAAAUCGUUUGCUGCUUUUGUACUCAUGGACGAAACAAGGAAGAACAAAAUAGAAGAAUAUUUUGAUAUGAAAACAAAAACAUUCAAGUAACCUUCAGAAUAUAUAUUUUUGUGUUCAAUUCCAAUCCCUAUCAGAUUUAGAUGCUGAUGGGUGCGCCGAUGGGCCAUUUGUGUUGUUGAAAAUCCAUGGAUGCCCUUGGUUGGAGCUUGUACUUUGGGUUCGUACUGUGCAAGUGCGCCACCACAUGUUUGACGUAGCUAGAGCUUGACUAAACCCAAUUAUUCCUCUCAAAUUUGGAAUUUGUAACGAAGAAAUUCUGAUGGGGUCGAUUGCAAAGAAGGGGUUGCAACAGUACUUGCUUCAGCUUCAGUAUCAUCCGCUCAUAACCAAGGUCAAAUUCUAUGCCUUUUAUCAAAUUUUGUUUAUGGAUGCCAUGGAUGCCAUUCAGCUUGAGCAUCAUUUGCUCAUUCUGAUGGGGUCGAUUGCAAAGAAGGGUUUGAGUGGUAGAGACAGGGAAAGAGAGAGAGAGACCUGUUGGAUGAAGAAGAUGGGUGGGUUAGGGUUCUUCGAGUUGGGGAUUGGGUGAGAGAGAUUUUGGAGAAAGUUGCAAAUGAUCAUUGGGUGGGAGGAAAUAUACGAGGGCAAUUUAGUCAUUUUAAGGUUUAGAAAAAUCCUAUUUUUAUCAUAUUGUUUUGCAUAUCAUGUGGAUGGUUUAUGCAUAUCCGAAAGAUCUUAUUUUGGUCCUAAGAUUAAGAAAAUGAGUCAUUCUUGUCUAUUUCCUUUUUUUCAUUCUUGUCUAUUUCCUUUUUUUUAAGUAACAUAUUUCAAAGGAUUUUAACAAACUUUUACAAUUCUAUAUAGAUUUUGGCAUUUUUUAUAUGGAUUUCUAUUAUAGAUAUCUGACAACAUAAAAUGAAUUUAUUUCUCAAUGCACAAUCUAAAAAGAACAUAAACGUAAACAUACAUAUAUUGAUAUAGAAAUACACACCAAUCAAAUAUGUCUCUCACU